AUGCAAGCCUCUUUUCACAGUCCUGAAAGGGCAAUUUUCAACAGCAAGAUGCAUUCAACACUCAAACAUAAAAUGACUCAAGCACAUGUGUUAGCCCUGCCUGACUUUGCAAAACAAUUUAUAGUAGAUGCAGAGACAUGUGCUUAUGGUAUUCGCGCAGUCCUCAUGCACGGUGGCAGGCCUAUCUCUUUUUUCAGCAAAAUAAUUUUUCCUAGGGCAUCUGCUCUCUCCACUUGUGAUAAAGAGGCAAUGGCCAUCAUUGAAGCAUUAACAAAAAUGGAAACACUAUUUUGCUACUUCUUCCUUGAUCAUCAGAACAGUUCAACAGAGUCGCAAGUACAUCCAAGAGCAGAAACUGAGAGAGGGCAUUCUACACAAGCUAUUGGUCAAAUUACUGGGCUUAUACCAUUAAAUAUAAAAAAGGCAACAAAACAGAGUAGCCGGUGCUCUCUCUAG
rnacentral:rRNA from 1 species